UUCACGUGAAAUAAGGUUACCCAACCUAAAAUAAUCAGCGCCCUGCACUCUGGUACACUUCCGAAUAAUCAUUUCACUCUCAUGGGUACGAUGAAUGUGCUCUAGUGUGAUUUCAAUAUCAAAAUACCUGAUAAAUGUUGCAAGAGAUUAGAAAAAUAAUCUAUCUUAGUCAUUUAUGUGGUACAUACUUGUAUAUACAUAACUGACGAAAUGCCUUUCGAAUUAAUGUGCUUCAAUUAUUUCAAACUGCAUAUUUCCCAAUUAUUUCAUCAAAUCAAAAUGUAAAAAUGGCCCGGAAAAUAUGAUACCAAAAACGAAGAAAAUGCUCCUAAUCAGCCUGCUGACUUUUAUUCUAAUACAGUUGAAAAUCAUCAGCUCGAAUUCUCUUCCAAAUGAUUUUGAAACACUGCUGGUAAAAAAUGACCUCAAAAGCUUAUCAACUGCACUUACCACCUCGAACCAAGAAACAAGAACCCUCUUGGAGACCAAACUAGUGCAAUGGGUAUCUGAAAAAUUCCGUAUAAUACCGGAUGAAUUUCGUUCUUUUGUCGCUAGAAUCCCUCAAGAAGAAAUAUACAAAUUCCAAGACUCCUUACAGGUAUAUCUCGAUACAGCUGGCAGUAUUUACCCUCUGAAUGAAACAACAUCCCAACUAUUCUAUCCCAGUUUUAUGUUAGCUGUUAAAAAUGCAUUAUCGACCAGCCACACCAUAUCUCCGCCCGAUCAAGGAUUCGAUAAAAUGAACGAUACGCUGUUUUUGCCGAUUCUGGGUCAAAGCGAUGCUGCCAUUUUCAUCACUUAUAAGAUAAUCGCAGAAGAGCCAAAUAAGUUGAAAUCGACUGCUAAAGCUGGACUAUGGGAUAUGUAUUUCCGUCCUUAUGAUGACCGUUGGAAACCAUUAUCGCAUAUUAAAAAAAUUAUCGAAAUAUGCAUGGCUUUCUGCAACGAAAAAGUUCAUGUGCAAUUCAGUAUUGAAAAAUUUAAGCAAAGUUGAUUAAUAUUCGCGUACAUUGUGUGUAAGGAAGAGAAAAGUGCAGACAAACUGGUUGAUUUUUUUCAAAAUUGUUGUGAAUUUUAAUUUUAUGCAGGUAGGAGGAGGAAAUGAUGGGUUGAGAAUAAGUAUUUAAUCAAUUGUGUUAUUACAAUGUACCCAUUAAGUAACAAAUAUACACUAUUUUCAACAUAAAAUCGUAAA